rnacentral:rRNA from 1 species
UACGGAGGGUGCAAGCGUUAUCCGGAAUCACUGGGUUUAAAGGGUGCGUAGGCGGGUUAGUAAGUCAGUGGUGAAAUCUUUCGGCUUAACCGGAAAAUUGCCAUUGAUACUGCUGAUCUUGAGUAUGUUUGAAGUGGGCGGAAUGUGGCGUGUAGCGGUGAAAUGCUUAGAUAUGCCACAGAACACCGAUUGCGAAGGCAGCUCACUAAACCAUCACUGACGCUGAGGCACGAAAGCGUGGGGAUCAAACAGG